rnacentral:misc_RNA from 1 species
AACGGUCUAUACCUGCGGUACCUGCGGAGGGAUCAUUACCGAGUUCUCGCCCCUCGCGGGGUAGACCUCCCACCCACUGUGAUCACUACCGUCGUUGCUUUGGCGGGCCGCUGGGCCCAGCCCACCGCCGGCUCCGGCUGGCGCGUGCCCGCCAGAGGCCCUACAAACGCUGGAUAUCAGUGCCGUCUGAGUACACAUGUUAAUCGUUAAAACUUUCAACAACGGAUCUCUAGAUCGGAA